GGGACAGCCCUGGGGACUGAGAUUGUUUAUUUAUCCAUGGAACAUGUACAACAUGGGCAACAGCAGUGCAGACUUCCCCAUGCUGCCUUACCACUGUUCCUUAGCCUUGACCUAGACGCGAGUGAUGACAUCUAGGGGUGAGAAAGUUGUUCAGUUUUACUGCCCACCUAAACACUCUUCU
rnacentral:sRNA from 1 species